GAUGAAGAACGCAGCGAAAUGCGAUAAGUAGUGUGAAUUGCAGAAUUCAGCGAAUCAUCGAAUCUUUGAACGCACAUUGCGGCCAUAGGUAUUCCUUUGGCCAUGCCUGUUCGAGCGUCAUUUACACCCUCAAGCCUAGCUUGGUGUUGGGCGUCUGUCCCGCCGUUCUCGCGCGCGGACUCGCCUCAAAGUCAUUGGCGGCGGUCGUGCCGGCCCCCUCGCGCAGCACAUUUGCGCUUCUCGGAGGCCCGGCGGAUCCGCGCUCCAGCAAGACCUUUCACGACUUGACCUCGGAUCAGGUAGGGAUACCCGCUGAACUUAAGCAUAUCAAUAAGCGGAGGA
rnacentral:misc_RNA from 1 species